ACGUACACUCCUGCGGGAGGCAGCAGUGGGGAAUAUUGGACAAUGGGCGCAAGCCUGAUCCAGCCAUGCCGCGUGAGUGAUGAAGGCCCUAGGGUUGUAAAGCUCUUUCACCGGUGAAGAUAAUGACGGUAACCGGAGAAGAAGCCCCGACUAACUUCGUGCCAGCAGCCGCGGUAAUACGAAGGGGGCUAGCGUUGUUCGGAUUUACUGGGCGUAAAGCGCACGUAGGCGGACUAUUAAGUCAGGGGUGAAAUCCCGGGGCUCAACCCCGGAACUGCCUUUGAUACUGGUAGUCUUGAGUUCGAGAGAGGUGAGUGGAAUUCCGAGUGUAGAGGUGAAAUUCGUAGAUAUUCGGAGGAACACCAGUGGCGAAGGCGGCUCACUGGCUCGAUACUGACGCUGAGGUGCGAAAGCGUGGGGAGCAAACAGGAUUAGAUACCCUAGUAGUCCCA
rnacentral:rRNA from 1 species